rnacentral:rRNA from 1 species
CAGCAGCCGCGGUAAUACGUAGGUGGCAAGCGUUGUCCGGAAUUAUUGGGCGUAAAGGGCUCGCAGGCGGUUUCCUAAGUCUGAUGUGAAAGCCCCCGGCUCAACCGGGGAGGGUCAUUGGAAACUGGGAAACUUGAGUGCAGAAGAGGAGAGUGGAAUUCCACGUGUAGCGGUGAAAUGCGUAGAGAUGUGGAGGAACACCAGUGGCGAAGGCGACUCUCUGGUCUGUAACUGACGCUGAGGAGCGAAAGCGUGGGGAGCGAACAGGAUUAGAUACCCCUGUAGUCCCUGUCUCUUAUAC